GCCAGUGUGGCAUAGUGGUUUGAGCAUUGGACUAUGACUCUGGAGACCAGGGUUCAGUUCCCUGCUCAGCCA